AAGACUUUAAGUUAAUUAAACUAAUAUCCUUCAAAGCUAUAAAUAAAGAGUUUCCUUUAAGUCUUA
rnacentral:tRNA from 1 species